rnacentral:rRNA from 1 species
GACGAACGCUGGCGGCGUGCCUAACACAUGCAAGUCGAGCGGAGAUAUUAGCAAUAGUAUCUUAGCGGCGGACGGGUGAGUAACGCGUGGGCAACCUGCCUUUAACCGGGGGAUAACACAGGGAAACUUGUGCUAAUACCGCAUAACAUCACAGGAGGACAUCCUCCAGUGAUCAAAGGAGCAAUCCGGUGAAAGAUGGGCCCGCGUCCGAUUGGCUAGGUGGCGGUGUAACGGACCACCAAGGCGACGAUCGGUAGCCGAACUGAGAGGUUGAUCGGCCACAUUGGGACUGAGACACGGCCCAGACUCCUACGGGAGGCAGCAGUGGGGAAUAUUGCGCAAUGGGGGGAACCCUGACGCAGCAACGCCGCGUGAAGGAUGAAGGUUUUCGGAUCGUAAACUUCUUUGAUGAGGGACGAAAAAUGACGGUACCUCAAAAACAAGCCACGGCUAACUACGUGCCAGCCGCCGCGGUAAAAC